rnacentral:rRNA from 1 species
UACAGAGGGUGCGAGCGUUGUCCGGAAUCAUUGGGCGUAAAGCGCGUGUAGGCGGCCCGGUAAGUCCGCUGUGAAAGUCGGGGGCUCAACCCUCGGAUGCCGGUGGAUACUGUCGGGCUCGAGUACGGAAGAGGCGAGUGGAAUUCCUGGUGUAGCGGUGAAAUGCGCAGAUAUCAGGAGGAACACCGAUUGCGAAGGCAGCUCGCUGGGACGUGACUGACGCUGAGACGCGAAAGCGUGGGGAGCAAACAGG